GCUGGGUGCCGUGGUGCAUGCCUGUAAUCCCAGCAACUCUGGAGGCUGAGGCAGGAGGAUCCAAAGUUCUAGGCCAGUCUCAGCAACUUAGUGAGACCCUGUCUCAA
rnacentral:sRNA from 1 species